AGAGUUUCAAAGGACGUACAUGAAAAACGCUUAACAUGUUAGACGGAUUCCAUCUUAUUCAUAACCGGAUCUAAAUCUGUUCAAUCUAAAACGCAUUAAGAUUUAUAUGUACCAGUCAUAAGAGGUUAAAUAUACACAAAAAAUUGGAUGAUGAAAGGUCAGAACUAUGGUCAAGGUCCGAUGUUGCUAUAUAUCCCGACUAGUCAAUAUUUCAAUGAGCUUGUCUAUAUCUUACAUUGUACGUACUGAUCUGCAUCAUCGAUAUCCAAAGGAGAUACCAUGAUUGCUUUACCAAAGAUGAGAAAAACUUUAAAAAAUUGAUUUCAUACCCCAAAGGGCGAUUGAAGAAGCUACCGCACCAGAGCAAGUCUAAAAAUUAGGAGGAGGAUUUUUCGAAGCGGAACGUACCUAUCAACGUUUAAAACACUAGUUCGAAGAAGACUUCCAAUGAAACUGUUUGACUAUUGGCAGACUAUAUCUUAUUUGGCUAUUCUUUGUAUUAUUUUCGUAUUCCUAUGGUCAACACAAAAUGAUACGGAUCACAAAAACUACAUACAUUCGAACUCAAGCCCACCCGAGAAAAUAAAAUCUUAUCAAACUCACAAACAAAGUUACAUAUAUUCGAACUCAAGCCAACCCGUGAAAACAAAAUCUAAUCGAACUCAGAAACAAAGCUACAUAAACUCGAACUCAAGCCAACCCGAGAAAAUAAAAUCUAAUCGAACCCAGAAACAAAGCUACAUAUAUUCGAACUCAAGCCAACCCGUGAAAACAAAAUCUAAUCGAACUCAGAAACAAAGCUACAUAAAGUCGAACUCAAGCCAACCCGAGAAAAUAAAAUCUAAUCGAACUCAGAAACAAAGUUACAUAAACUUGAACUCGAGCCAACUCGAGAAAAUAAAAUCUAAUCGAACUCAAAAAAUGUUUCGCAUUGCAUGGUACGAGCAGAAUUCUGAAGUUCUAUUUGGUAUAUCGAAAUAUGAUCCGACUAAAUGCAACAUUCCCAAUUGUCUCGUAGAGAAAAACACUUCGUUGGCAGACAUCAUUGUAUUACGUCACAGUUAUCUCCCUUAUCAUAAAACCAUCGAAAAAACUAAAGGACAAAUGUGGGUAUUGCAUACUAACGAGAGCCCGUACCAUACCUUUCGACCACCCAAACAAUGGGCCGAUAAAAUUGAUUUAUCUGCUUCCUACAUGGAGACAUCAGAUUUCUUUGUGCCAUUGUAUGGAAGACUUUUGCAUAAUAAAACAUACCCCUUACAGAAUUAUACCGGAGUUUUAGCCAAUAAAACCAAAGAUGCUGUGUGGGUGUCGAGUCACUGCAGCACACCAUCUAAAAGAGAAAAUCUGGUAAAAGAGCUAAGCAAACACCUUACGGUUGACAAAUACGGAAAAUGUGGAACGAAAAAGUGUGGCAAACAAUAUGACGAUUACACAAAGUGCAAAUCAAUAUUUGAAAAGGACUACAAGUUUUUCUUUGCGUUUGAAAACUCCAUUUGUGAUGAUUAUACUACUGAAAAAUUGUAUUCACUUUAUCGCGAUCAUUCACCCAUAAUUCCUGUCAUAAACGGUCCGCGAGACGUUAAUAAGUAUCUCCCCAAAGGAACAUUCAUCAACAGUCGAGAAUUCUCUUCACCAGAGAAAUUGGCAGAAAAACUAAAAGAAAUUGGAUCCGAUGAAUCUAAGUAUAUCCGUUAUUUACAAGAAAAGGAUAAAUAUUUCCCAAUCUAAUUAAAAUUAGAACUUCCAUCCGCUCCCCGGUUUUCGUUAUGUCGCGUGGAAGAUCUAACAACAUCCCAUUAAGGGUCACGUCAGAGUUCAAUAUGAAUACAUUAUCUUAUUUUUUAACAAGCCAAUCAAAAUAUGGAUCAACCUUUUCAAGCACCCAAUCAGAAAGCGUCUUUCUUGCUUGAUUCGUUUAUGCUUACAAGAUGGCGGCGUCCACGAUAGAAGCGUUAGUUUGCGAUUUAUUACCAGUUUUUGGAGUCGAUGCGUUAAAGGACGAACAAAAAACAAUACUACAGUGUCUGAUGAAUAAAACGGACUGCAUGGCAGUUCUUCCCACGGGCUAUGGAAAGUCCCUGCCUUAUCAGAUGUACAGUUUGGUAAACCGACGACUGACGAGUGAUAAAGAAAUCGUUCUCGUGUGCUGUCCACUUGUGGCCUUAAUGCAAGAUCAAGUAGAAAAAAUGUCAAAGAUUCCAGGUGUGAAAUCAGCCUACGCAGGUUCAUGUCCACAGAGUGACAUUGAAAUAAAGGAAGGCAAAGUGGACAUCAUAUAUGCAUCGCCAGAAACCUUGGUAGGUGAUCCAGAAUGGAGGGCAAGCAUCCAAAAUUUGCCAGUGUCUGUGCUUGUCAUAGACGAAUUCCACACAAUUGCUACAUGGGGGGACGAUAGUGAAAGUCAAGGCAAGGAAACAUUUCAAAUCUAUUACCAUUCAUCGGUAAGCGUCAAUCAGAAAGACAGUGAUAUUUCUGACAGUGAUACAGAGGAGUACUUCUCCAAUGAUGAAAAUUUAGAAUUGUCUUGAUCAAAUAAAAAUUGAACUUUUUACUGCUUUUAUUUAUAUGCGAG
rnacentral:misc_RNA from 1 species